rnacentral:tRNA from 1 species
GUCUAGGGGUUAGGACGUCAGGUUUUCAUCCUGGAAACAGGGGUUCGAUUCCCCUAC